rnacentral:rRNA from 1 species
UGGGGAAUAUUGCACAAUGGGCGAAAGCCUGAUGCAGCCAUGCCGCGUGUGUGAAGAAGGCCUUCGGGUUGUAAAGCACUUUCAGCGAGGAGGAAGGUGGUGAACUUAAUACGUUCAUCAAUUGACGUUACUCGCAGAAGAAGCACCGGCUAACUCCGUGCCAGCAGCCGCGGUAAUACGGAGGGUGCAAGCGUUAAUCGGAAUUACUGGGCGUAAAGCGCACGCAGGCGGUUUGUUAAGUCAGAUGUGAAAUCCCCGGGCUCAACCUGGGAACUGCAUUUGAAACUGGCAAGCUAGAGUCUCGUAGAGGGGGGUAGAGUUCCAGGUGUAGCGGUGAAAUGCGUAGAGAUCUGGAGGAAUACCGGUGGCGAAGGCGGCCCCCUGGANGAAGACUGACGCUCAGGUGCGAAAGCGUGGGGAGCAAACAGAUUAGAUACCCUGGUAGUCCACGCUGUAAACGAUGUCGAUUUGGAGGUUGUGCCCUUGAGGCGUGGNUUCCGGAGCUAACGCGUUAAAUCGACCGCCU